CGGCAACAGCUCAAAUUUGAAAUCUGGUACCUUUGGUGCCCGAGUUGUAAUUUGUAGAGGGUGUCUCGGCGGGAGUACCGGUCCAAGUCCCUUGGAACAGGAUGUCAUAGAGGGUGAGAACCCCGUAUCCGGCUGGCUACUCUCUCCAUGUGAGACCCCUUCGACGAGUCGAGUUGUUUGGGAAUGCAGCUCUAAAUGGGUGGUAAAUUCCAUCUAAAGCUAAAUACUGGCCAGAGACCGAUAGCGCACAAGUAGAGUGAUCGAAAGAUGAAAAGCACUUUGAAAAGAGAGUCAAACAGUACGUGAAAUUGUUGAAAGGGAAGCGUAUGCGGCCAGACUUGCCCGCGGUUGCUCAGCCUGUCUUCUGGCAGGUGUACUCUUCCGCGGUCAGGCCAGCAUCGGUUUGGGCGGUCGGAUAAAGGCGCUGGGAAUGUGGCCCCUCGGGGUGUUAUAGCCCGGCGUGCAAUGCGACCCGCCCGGACCGAGGCCCGCGUUCUGCUAGGAUGCUGGCGUAAUGGCCGUAUACGGCCCGUCUUGAAACACGGACCAAGGAGUCUAACAUCUAUGCGAGUGUUUGGGUGUCAAGCCCGGGCGCGCAAUGAAAGUGAACGGAGGUGGGAGCUUCGGCGCACCAUCGACCGAUCCUGAUGUCUUCGGAAGGAUUUGAGUAAGAGCAUAGCUGAUAGGACCCGAAAGAUGGUGAACUAUGCGUGAAUAGGGUGAAGCCAGAGGAAACUCUGGUGGAGGCUCGCAGCGGUUCUGACGUGCAAAUCGAUCGUCAAAUUUGCGUAUAGGGGCGAAAGACUAAUCGAACCAUUUAGUAGCUGGUUCCUGCCGAAGU
rnacentral:rRNA from 1 species